AAAAUGCGAUAAGUAAUGUGAAUUGCAGAAUUCAGUGAAUCAUCGAAUCUUUGAACGCACAUUGCGCCUGCCAGUAUUCUGGCGGGCAUGCCUGUUCGAGCGUCAUUUCAACCCUCAAGCCCCCGGGUUUGGUGUUGGGGAUCGGGCUGCGGUUCUACCGCGUCCCGGCCCCGAAAUCUAGUGGCGGUCUCGCUGCAGCCUCCAUUGCGUAGUAGCUAACACCUCGCAACUGGAACGCGGCGCGGCCAAGCCGUUAAACCCCCAACUUCUGAAUGUUGACCUCGGAUCAGGUAGGAAUACCCGCUGAACUUAAGC
rnacentral:misc_RNA from 1 species